rfam:Loxodonta africana unplaced genomic scaffold scaffold_44, whole genome shotgun sequence.
CCAAAGGCUCUUCUCAGAGCCAACUAUAUUUUCUGUGAAAGAUGCU